rnacentral:rRNA from 1 species
GCAAGUCGAACGAACUCUGGUAUUGAUUGGUGCUUGCAUCAUGAUUUACAUUUGAGUGAGUGGCGAACUGGUGAGUAACACGUGGGAAACCUGCCCAGAAGCGGGGGAUAACACCUGGAAACAGAUGCUAAUACCGCAUAACAACUUGGACCGCAUGGUCCGAGUUUGAAAGAUGGCUUCGGCUAUCACUUUUGGAUGGUCCCGCGGCGUAUUAGCUAGAUGGUGGGGUAACGGCUCACCAUGGCAAUGAUACGUAGCCGACCUGAGAGGGUAAUCGGCCACAUUGGGACUGAGACACGGCCCAAACUCCUACGGGAGGCAGCAGUAGGGAAUCUUCCACAAUGGACGAAAGUCUGAUGGAGCAACGCCGCGUGAGUGAAGAAGGGUUUCGGCUCGUAAAACUCUGUUGUUAAAGAAGAACAUAUCUGAGAGUAACUGUUCAGGUAUUGACGGUAUUUAACCAGAAAGCCACGGCUAACUACGUGCCAGCAGCCGCGGUAAUACGUAGGUGGCAAGCGUUGUCCGGAUUUAUUGGGCGUAAAGCGAGCGCAGGCGGUUUUUUAAGUCUGAUGUGAAAGCCUUCGGCUCAACCGAAGAAGUGCAUCGGAAACUGGGAAACUUGAGUGCAGAAGAGGACAGUGGAACUCCAUGUGUAGCGGUGAAAUGCGUAGAUAUAUGGAAGAACACCAGUGGCGAAGGCGGCUGUCUGGUCUGUAACUGACGCUGAGGCUCGAAAGUAUGGGUAGCAAACAGGAUUAGAUACCCUGGUAGUCCAUACCGUAAACGAUGAAUGCUAAGUGUUGGAGGGUUUCCGCCCUUCAGUGCUGCAGCUAACGCAUUAAGCAUUCCGCCUGGGGAGUACGGCCGCAAGGCUGAAACUCAAAGGAAUUGACGGGGGCCCGCACAAGCGGUGGAGCAUGUGGUUUAAUUCGAAGCUACGCGAAGAACCUUACCAGGUCUUGACAUACUAUGCAAAUCUAAGAGAUUAGACGUUCCCUUCGGGGACAUGGAUACAGGUGGUGCAUGGUUGUCGUCAGCUCGUGUCGUGAGAUGUUGGGUUAAGUCCCGCAACGAGCGCAACCCUUAUUAUCAGUUGCCAGCAUUAAGUUGGGCACUCUGGUGAGACUGCCGGUGACAAACCGGAGGAAGGUGGGGAUGACGUCAAAUCAUCAUGCCCCUUAUGACCUGGGCUACACACGUGCUACAAUGGAUGGUACAACGAGUUGCGAACUCGCGAGAGUAAGCUAAUCUCUUAAAGCCAUUCUCAGUUCGGAUUGUAGGCUGCAACUCGCCUACAUGAAGUCGGAAUCGCUAGUAAUCGCGGAUCAGCAUGCCGCGGUGAAUACGUUCCCGGGCCUUGUACACACCGCCCGUCACACCAUGAGAGUUUGUAACACCCAAAGUCGGUGGGGUAGACGCUUAUAGAAACGCAACGUAG